GAUGAACGCUGGCGGCGUGCUUAACACAUGCAAGUCGAACGGAAAGGCUCCUGCUUGCAGGGGUACUCGAGUGGCGAACGGGUGAGUAACACGUGGGUGAUCUGCCCUGCACUUCGGGAUAAGCCUGGGAAACUGGGUCUAAUACCGGAUAGGACGAUGGUUUGGAUGCCAUUGUGGAAAGUUUUUCGGUGUGGGAUGAGCUCGCGGCCUAUCAGCUUGUUGGUGGGGUAAUGGCCUACCAAGGGGUCGACGGGUAGCCGGCCUGAGAGGGUGUACGGCCACAUUGGGACUGAGAUACGGCCCAGACGCCUACGGGACGCAGCAGUGGGGAAUAUUGCACAAUGGGCGAAAGCCUGAUGCAGCGACGCCGCGUGGGGAAUGACGGCCUUCGGGUUGUAAACUCCUUUCGCUAGGGACGAAGCGCAAGUGACGGUCCCUGGAGAAGAAGCACCGGCUAACUACGUG
rnacentral:rRNA from 1 species